CACGUAGGGUGCGAGCGUUGUCCGGAAUUAUGGGGCGUAAAGAGCUCGUAGGCGGUGUGUCGCGUCGGCCGUGAAAACCUGCAGCUUAACUGUGGGCGUGCGGUCGAUACGGGCAUCACUGGAGUUCGGCAGGGGAGACUGGAAUUCCUGGUGUAGCGGUGAAAUGCGCAGAUAUCAGGAGGAACACCGGUGGCGAAGGCGGGUCUCUGGGCCGAUACUGACGCUGAGGAGCGAAAGCGUGGGGAGCGAACAGG
rnacentral:rRNA from 1 species